CUUUUUUUCAUUCUCUUCUAUCUCUUGUUUGUUCAACCCCACUGAUUCUUCAAAAGCUUGCAUUUGGUUCUCUAUAUUCACCCAUAUGAGAAAUUAACUCAUUAACGGACCCUUGCACCAGCUUCAUCUAGUUCUUUAAGGGCAUUUUCACCAAUCUGUUCCAUUUCACAAUUGGCUUCUUCAGCAAACUGUGUUAGAUAUGCAGAUCUUUCAUCUAAG
rnacentral:lncRNA from 1 species